GGGGUAUUAGCUCAGCGGUUUAGAGCAACCGGCUUUUAACCGGUUGGCCGAUGGUUCGAAUCCAUCAUGCCCCACCA
rnacentral:tRNA from 1 species